GCUAGUUGUAUUAUUAGUUAAUGCAAGAUCGACUACGUCGACUAAAGUUCUAGGUAGAAUAAUGAUGAUGACAAUUUUUUACCUAUAUGUCUUGACCAAGUCUCGUGCCAGCAGUCGCGGUAAUACGUGGAAGACUAGUGUUAUUCAUCUUUAUUAGGUUUAAAGGGUACCUAGACGGUAUUUCUAGCCCAAAAUAGGGUACGGAUUUACUAGAGUUUUAUGUGAGGAGGGGAGUACUCGUGGAGUAGAGAUGAAAUUUUGUUAUACUAUGAGGUAACUGGUGGCGGCGAAAGCAACCUUCUAUGUAUAAACUGACGUUGAGGGACGAAGGCUUGGGUAGCAAAUAGGAUUAGAUACCCUAGUAGUCCAAGCAGACAAUUCUGAAUGCCAUAGAUUAGAUUAUUUUUGGUCUAUAAAUGAAAGUGUAAGCAUUCCACCUUAGGAGUAAUGUGGCAACACAGGAACUGAAAUCAUUAGACCGUUUCUGAAACCAGUAGUGAAGUAUGUUAUUUAAUUUGAUGGUCCACAAAAAACCUUACCACAACUUGAAUAUUUUUAAAUUAAUACAAGAGUUGCACGGCUGUCUUCAGUUAAUGUCGUGAGAUUUUGGUUAACUCCAUUAAUUAACGUAAACCCUUACUUUAU
rnacentral:rRNA from 1 species